UGGCUAAAACCUGCCGGUGGAAAGAGAAACUAACAAAAUGGGACUAGUCGCGGGGUAAGAUGAUCUUAGCAGUCAAUCUUUGGAUGGGCCAAUCCUGCAUUACAAGAAAAUAUCUUUUCACGCGGCGACAGAGCAAAGACUCCUCCGGCCCCCUCUCUGAAGCGGAACCCGCCCUGCAGUGCAGAUCCGGCGGGGCUAUUUUCCCCUCUCCUCUCCAGCAAUCAGGCCAUCGCCGGUGUUUCUGCCAGAUAGUGUUUCUGCUUGCUUGUUCAAAUCCGUAGGGUCUAGAAUCUCCUAGGAUUCAGUCGGGCACGGCGGCGCUACUGCGUGCGUAACCGAGGAGGGUUAGGAUUCCGGCCUCUCCUCUCUCUACCUCUCGUCUGGCCUAUAUAGAUCCGACCUCAUCGAUUGGGAGAGGAUCGUAUCGCAUCGCUUCGUUUCGCUUGGGCGAUCUGUCUCGAUGGGAUCCUGGUUCUCUUCCCCUGCCUGCCCACGACAGCGUAUUCAUCGCGUUGGACAACUCAUGGACGAAUUACGUAGUUCAGCCUACAGUAUAGAGUACGUAACCGCCUCCCUCUUUGGAAUCUUUUGUGCUGAAUCUACUAGUAAUCCCUUGUUUUGUGUAAUUUGUUUGUUCGUUAGUUCCUUAGAUGACAUAGUAUCUGGCGGCGCUCACUGGAUCCGUGAUCUCGCCUACGAGGCCCUCAAACACUACAACUCCGACCACCCGGUACCAACUACUGAUCCAUCCACAACUCCUCCUCUUAGCAUCCAUGUGUUGCCGCCCGCCUAGUAAUCCAUGUUUGCCAUCGAUCGACCGAUAUUAUGUGCAGGGUGCCGAGUUCCGAAUUCCUUUUCAGCCCACCGCGGACAUGAAGGCUGCGUGCGUUGGCUUCAGGAGAGAUCUCUGGUACCACCUCAACUUCUUGGCUCGCCACGGGGAUGACGAGCGGACCUUCUUCGCCGAGCUAUGCUACGACAACACCACCUCCCACUGCCUAAUCGUCCAAACAUGUGCCAUCUUGGAGAAGCCCUCUAGAAGCAGCUGCGCAAUGUGUCCGGAAGAAUCCAAGAUUUUACACCCUGAUGAGGCUGAAUUCGUGUGUGGAAAAGAGGGGCACCAGAGGGACUUCUUCUGCGAGAUGUCCUGGGACGGGCACACAAAGGAAUUCUUCAGCCAGAGCGAUAUGCUAAGCACGCCAUUCUUGAUAGGAGCACCAGCGCCUCGAUAUAGACUGCUGCCCGACGAUUCACCAUGAUUUAUGUAUCAUCAAUAAUCCUUGGUUAAUUUCCUGGAUCGUUACCGCUGGCUAUACAAGUGUGGUUUUGACACUAAUUCCUUGCUUGCCUUUUGGUGACCUUUAUUUGAUAGCAAAAAUUUGCAAACUGUACAUGCCUUAAACUGCUCUGUUUUCCAGUAUAAUUGCAAAUUCCUUUUGCUAUUCUUUGUUGGGAACUGCGCAUUCUGUUAUGUUUUCUUCUUCCAAUCCUUGAUUUAUCCUGGGUUGUCAAGUGUAUCUUCUUUUUUGCAUGUUCUUGUACUUUUGAUUGUGGUAGAAAGUCCCAGUAUUGCGUAGUUAUGAGAAAAUAAACUGCAGAAAUGUUCUCUAGUCAGUUGUGAGAGUGUUGGGCAAGAUAUAAUCUUUUUUUAACGUCAACUAACAACCACAUGCAAGAGUAGUAUUCAUUGUGAAUGUUAUAUGAUGAAAGAUAAGAUAUGAGUGUGGAUUACUUCCGAGAUGAACAGUAUAACUCUAGAACCCAUGGUACCCUAUCAUUUCAAUAAUUAUGGUUAUUCACUUGCACUCUUAAAACCUUUUCUAUUUUCAGGUCAGUGUGAUCCUCUGCCACCAACAUUGCUUUGCUUAUCCCUUGUAUGGUGUAUUUUUUUUCGUCAACGUGUUUUGGAUUUUGAUUUCUUUAAGCUGUAGCUGCUAAAUUAUGAUAUGUUGUAAGUUUCAUCAUUUCACUAUUCAACAAAUGAUUCUUUAAUUUCUAUGAUAUAUGAUUUCUCCCUUUGUGCAACCUAUCUCAGGGUUUCACUAAUGUGGCUGACAUUGCCGGAGGAUUUUCUUUGCUGUUUAUCAACCAUCAGAGGCCAAGUUUUCUGAUUUUUCCUUAAUCAUUCCAUGGUUGAACAUUAUGGUGUUUUUGGCCUUGAGAAGCCACAGUAUUUAAUGCACAUGUAGGUUGGAAGACAAGUGGAAGCUUGAGAGAUGAGGAGGUUAUGCUUAACCCUUCUUCCUUUUCAAUGGGAUCUGUGGUAAAUGUGAGCAUGAAAGAAAUCAAGUAGUAUUAGUAAAAUAAGUGUUGAAGAAAAGAAUAUCCCUUUUUGAUGUAAAAAAAUUGCUUUCCAAUAAUAGCAGCGGACCAGCGGUGUGUCUUAUGUUUAGAUAGAGAUGCAAGUGGGUCACUAUUAGGGUACCCUCUUCCCUUUUUCGUUCAAAAUGAUGAUGUCAUCGAAAAGGUUAGUUCUUUUCCUUGAACUAGAGAGUGUAGAGGGUACACCAAACAAUUUGUAAUUUACAAAAAUGAUUUAUUGUUUAUAAGCAGACUUUGUAUUGAAUUUAGACAAACCUCCGACAUUUUUUUAUGGACGGAGGGAGUAGUAUAGAUAGAUAGGGAUCUGAAUUAAGAAUUGACAUGACGAAUUGAAAGAGACAUAUCAACAGUUGGGUUUCAGUCACCGUGCACGGAUCUGUACGUUCCCCAAGAAAACAAGGGGAUCUCUACCGAAAAAAAUGUGCCACCAAUUGCAACUAGAAGUAGUAAAACUGCAUGCAUAUAUUUCCCUAAAAAAAAUGCAUGCAUAUAUGCAUUUGGUUACUCACUAAACAUCGCUACAUCAUCAUCAUGCCAAAACAUCAUAUUGUCUUGCAGAGUAGCUAUGCGGUGUUGUCGUGCUGGUGCUGCACCUCUGUGCGGUGUUGUGUUAGUAGCUCCGUAGUUUUUAAAUCUGUUUUAAUUUGAUACUGGUAUCCAUGAUUUAGGCUUGAAUGCUAACUCCUACUUUUUGUAUGAAUUUGUGAUCCUAGGAUCGUUUCCUGUAGGAAGUUUGCAGGUUUCUCUCUAGAUGAGACUCCAUGAAGACUUUCGCUUUGCUUUGGAAACUGUGUGUUCUCUUACUUUAGCUCUGCUGUUACCUAUUAGUAGCAGCUCCUGUGGCUAAAAGCUCCUAUCUCUAGAAUUGAGUUAAUAACACCCCAGGUACACUAACUUGUCUUUGAUGUGCACUUUCAUACACAAACUUGCAAGUUGUGGCACACAGGUACACUAACUUGAUUUUCGGGUGAAGUUUUAGUCCAUUAUCGAUACCUUUAUGCCACAUAGAUAAUUGACACAUUGUCGUUACUUUGCUGAUACCCCUCUGACGUUGUGGUGAUUAGAGGAGCAGUUAUCCCGUGAGAUUGUGUGGAAUAGUAGGAAACAACUCUAAUUUUUUCCUAAAUUACCUCUCUUUGUCAUCUCCUUCCCAGAAAAAGCUCGAACCGAGCAGUUCCCUUGAGGUAUCGACACGGGAUUACGUCCUCGACGCAGAGCACAUCGCCGCCGCCGCCGACACAAUGCGUCCGGACACGCAGCUCCGGCCAUUAGACCAGAAGGAGGCGCCAGACUAUGGAGCUAAUGGUAACUUGUUCUCGGUUGAACUAGAGCACAAUGUUUUUUUUUUGUUUUUUGUGGAAAAGGAGCUGGCUUGACAUACGUUCAGCCAUCUAUUGCAUAUAUAGAUUAUUGCAAUACAGAGACCUGGUCUCUACUUUGGAUAGAAGACAUUCUGCAACAACUAGGGUAUGAAAGGGAUGGUAAGUUACAUGUGUACUGGAGCCCACCAGGGAAAGAAAUUUGUGAGGGCUUACUUCGCAUUGAGAGAGAUGCAGACAUAUUGGAAAUGAUAAAAGCUACAGAGAACCACAAAACAUUGGUUUUGUUGGUUGACCAUACAAAUUUUCUGAAGAACUUGAGAGUGGAGGCUAUAAUUAACAGAGGGCCCAGCUCUACCAUCUAGUCCAAGGAUGUGACCUAGCACAUGUGUAGGUGAAGACGCAUCAGGUGCACACAAGGGCUCCUCAAGCAAAUCGGUGCAAAAUGAUUUUGACAGUUUCUACAAUGAAUAUUGUCAAGAAGAAUCUGAAGACACCGAUGAUUCUGAUUUUGUGGACAGUGACUUUGAAGUAGAAGAUGGGGAUGAUGACCUUUUGAGGGACAAGGGACAAUGUAGGUACAGAGGUGAAUGACAACAAUGAAACAGUACAAAUGCAAGAUUUAGAGGAUGAUUAUGCACUGGAGGAUGCUGAUUUGAACCUGAGGAAAAGAACAAGGGAAGUUGAAGUACAAGUUUGGAACAUUUAAUCCUCAAGUUGAUAUGGACAGUCCUAUUUGAGCCUGAGCAAGCACGGGUAGAGGCAGGGGCACAAGGAAAAGGAGAUCAGAUGCUACCACCUCAAGCAUUGCAAACAGGGGUAGAGGGAGAGCAAGAGCACCAGCAACUAAUAACACAAGCAUUGGUACUUGUAUUGGCAGUUCGGAGAUGCUGAGCAGCAAAGAACUUCAGUUCCAGAUCUGAAUGCAGCAGCUGUACCAGACCUCAAUGCACCAGAUCAUCAUGGAGAAGGGGAAGCAAUCUCUCUGACUCAAAAUGCACCAAAUCCAGAUGUUGCAUAGUUCGGUGUAGUACCACUAUGUUUUCCUGUUUUUAUCUCAACUAGUUGGAACAAUUAGUUUGAAUGAACCUCUAGUUACAGUGAACUACAUGUACUGGUUAUUCUGCACCAUAUGCUCUAUUUUGCAUACACUGCUCAAUCUUCCAUUUAAUACAAGAUUGAUAUUUAUCUUCUUCUAA